rnacentral:misc_RNA from 1 species
GUUUAUUGAAAAAAAAAUUAUUUACAAAAGACAUGCCGCCAAGUGUAAUAGCUCAGAUUAUAAGGACAAAAUCAAAAGCUAUAUACCUGAAGUGAAGACUCACAUAUGAAACAUGAAAGGUGUAAGACCUAGGUUUUUAGCCUCUUGUUUUGUGUAUUAAAUUGUUACUUGGCAAGAGAAGUGGGUGAUUGUCUCGUUGGGUUGAUGCACUUGAUAAUGUACUUUAUGUGUCUAGGUACUAUGCAUCUUUAGGGCUUAAUCACUUUGUGAUAUAGGAAUAUGAAUAAUUUUAUACCCCUUUUUAUUGGAGUUUAACCCAAUUAGGAAAAUGUCUAUUUUGGAACCAUUUAUUGCUAUUCAUUGUAGUUUUGCCUUAUAUGUUGAAAACAAAUUCCCGAAACUCUGAAUUUUUUAUAUGUUUGUGUAGUAACUGCAAGCAAAAAAUCCUAUGGGUUUAAAAUGAAGCAACCCCAAAAUGUUAA